UUCCGGUUGAUCCCGCCGGAGCUGGCUGCUAUGAGGAUUGUACUAAGUCAUGCAAGUUAGCGUAUCGCCUAUGUUGAUACGCGGCGUAAAGCUCAGUAACGCGUAGAUAACCUACCCUAAGAUCCGGAAUAACCUCGGCAAACUGAGGCUAAAACUGGAUUAUCGCCCUCUGUUGGAAUACCGGGGCGGUCAAAGGAGUCGGAGCAUGGUUCGACACGUCUUAGGACGGGUCUGCGUCGGAUUAGGUUGUGGGUGGGGUAAAGGCCCACCUAGCCGAGAAUCCGUACGGGUCGUUAGCGCGAUAACCCGGAGUUGGACUCUGAGACAAUAGUCCAGGGGCUAUGGCUUGCAGCAGGCGAGAAACCUGUACAAUGCACGAAAGUGUGAUACGGCAAUCCUCAGUGCUAGGAGCAAUUCUAGCUUUUGUCGAGUGUAAAUAUCUAGGCGAAUAAGGAGAGGGCAAGAACGGUGCCAGCCGCCGCGGUAAAACCGUCUCUUCGAGUGGCCAGCGUGUUUAUUGGGCCUAAAGCAUCCGUAGGCGGACCAAUCCGUCUCACCUAAAAGCCGGCGUCUCAAGCGUCUGAUCUGGGUGGGAAACAGUUGGUCUUGGUAAUGGGAGAGGCAAGCCGUACGGCCAGAGUAGGGGUGAAAUCCUAUAAUCCUGGUCGGACGACCGAUGGCGAAGGCAGCUUGCUGGAACAUGUACGACGCUGAUGGAUGAAGGCCAGGGGAGCGAGCCGGAUUAGAUACCCGGGUAGUCCUGGCAGUAAACGAUGCGGAUUAAGUGUAAGGGCGUCUUGAGGCGCCCUUGUGCCGAAGCGAAGGCGUUAAAUCCGCCGCCUGGGAAGUACGGUCGCAAGACUUAAACUUAAAGAAAUUGGCGGGAGAGCGCCACAACCGGUGGAGCCUGCGGCUUAAUUGGAUUCAACGCCGGG
rnacentral:rRNA from 1 species